AGGUAGUGGCUCAAGCUCUGGCACAGCUCCAGUAUGCAGAAGAUGCAGAAAACCACAUGGCGGAGUUUGUCGGUUGGGAUCUACAGCUUGUUUUAGAUGUGGACAGGAAGGGCAUAUUGCUCGGGAUUGUUCGCAGGUGACUUUUGCACCAUCCCAGCAGAUGAGUUCAGGCAGUGUGGUACAGCCAGUUGUUCAGCCAGCAGCUC
rnacentral:lncRNA from 1 species